UACGUAGGGGGCAAGCGUUGUCCGGAAUCAUUGGGCGUAAAGCGCGCGUAGGUGGCUUCGUAAGUCCGUUGUGAAAGUCAAAGGCUCAACCUUUGAAAGCCGAUGGAUACUGUGAAGCUAGAGUACGGAAGAGGCGAGUGGAAUUCCUGGUGGAGCGGUGAAAUGCGCAGAUAUCAGGAGGAACACCCGUGGCGAAAGCGGCUCUCUGGAACGGUACUGACGCUGAGACGCGAAAGCGUGGGGAGCGAACAGG
rnacentral:rRNA from 1 species